UACGGAGGGUGCGAGCGUUAAUCGGAAUUACUGGGCGUAAAGCGUGCGUAGGCGGUUAUUUAAGUCAGAUGUGAAAGCCCCGGGCUCAACCUGGGAACUGCAUUUGAAACUGGAUAACUAGAGUUUGGUAGAGGUGAGUAGAAUUCCUAGUGUAGCGGUGAAAUGCGUAGAUAUUAGGAGGAAUACCAGUGGCGAAGGCGGCUCACUGGACCAAAACUGACGCUGAGGUACGAAAGCGUGGGGAGCAAACAGG
rnacentral:rRNA from 1 species